rnacentral:lncRNA from 1 species
UUUUGAUCGUUUACCAAUAUCGAAUAACCUAACAUUUUUUGAAAGACAAGGUAUUGUUACAUUUUCCAUGUUUUUAUAGUGUAAUAAACCUUGACCUUAUAAAACCAUUAAUGAUUUGGGAAAUCAAACUUCAAAUACCAUUUUCAACUUUCAAAAUGAAAUUGUGUAAAAGUGAAAAAAAUAUCUUCCAAUUGGAAUUUUACCAUUUAUUGCAUCAAUAUUUUUUGUUCUUUCUGUUGUAAUUGAAACAUUUUAUUUUAUCAACCGUAGAUGUUAAAUAAUUUAUUUUAUUUCAUAUUGCUAUAUUUUUUUUCAAGUUAGGCUCACAUUAUUACUUUGGAUGACUUUAAUCAUUUAAAAGAUAAUUCAGCAUUAUUUGUCUAAAUAAGGAUGCAUGUUUAUUGCAUAGGUUAUGUAAACAUUCUAGUCAAUUUUGUUGUUAUUUGUUUUAUUUAUUGACCUUGUUGGUCAAAUUGCAUUAUUUCAUUUAAAGACGGUGUACAUGUAGGUUCAUUUUCAUGAUUACAAAAAAUCCUAUAAACAUAUCAGAAUUUGAUCUGUUUAAAACAUGUAUCAUUAUAAUUUGUAUAUCAAGUUUUGUUUUAUUUUAUUUUUGGUAUUUUGAUUUACACCUUUGUAAGAAUAUUGUUGAGUUUAUUUUUCUAGUCCUUUUUUUUAUAAUGUUUUAUUGCUUCAUUUGAUGAUUUCAAUGAAUUGUAUGAUAGACAAAUUGGACUGACGCAGUAAAAUUCAGAAAUGAUCUGUUAAGAAUUAUUAUGAAAACUGUCUUCUGUUCAUGUAACAUUUUUAACCAUUAAAUUGUUAGGCAUUUUUAAUUUCCUAUUUCACAUUUUUUAACAUUUUUUUAUACAACAAUAUACUAUUAUCUUACAUACCGACUUUUGACUCCGGACUUUCUAAUUUUAGAUAGGUAACCUACUCUGUGGUUGGACGUUUUCUGGUAUGUGGGUCAAGUAAGAACAACUAGUAAAGACAUUUGGUAUAAUUUGGGCAAAAAUUCACAGUUUAUGUUUUCUAUACAAGACAAAAUCAGUAAAAAGACAGUAAGGUUAAAGUCAAAUUGACCAAGCAAUUAUUGGUUGGAAAUUGUUGUUACAAAAAUUAAAUGUGUUUUUUAGCUAACUAUCCAUCGAAGUGUAAAUUCAAUUAUAUUUAGCUUGUUAUUUGUGUGCUAUACAUUCCAGAUAUUUUGUUGUUUUGUUGUAAAUAUUUGAAAGAAUUAUAUGGUGCAUUGUUUAAACAAAAAUGCUCAAGUGGACAUAUAACAUGCAUUCCUUAUAGUUGAUAAAUAAUUUUCUGAUAAAAGAUUCCAAGUUCAAGUGUCUCUAAAUAUUUUUGGGAGGGAUGAGACUGAAAAACAUUAUUUGUAGGGCUUAAAAGUUAAAUAUCAUAAGAAUAAAGUUACUUAAUCAUAGCUUAUUAAGUUGAUAGUUGUUUUGUGAAAUGUUCAUAUUGUAAAACAACCAACACAAUCAGAACAUAAGCUCUCAGGUGUCUCACCUCAAUGACAUUUUUAAGUUUUGGUGCUAUUCACAUGCACAUGUGCUGAUUCAGGAUUUGAUGUUAAUAGAAUUAUGAAUAAAUCUGAGGAUCUUAUUUUGAAUCAAAGUUUGCCCUAAUUUUUCCUUUGAUAUAUUUUCAUUUUUUUUUUUAGAGGGAAAUCAGACUUUCCAGUACGAUUUUCGUACUCAGUACUCAGCCUUGAAAAUCAACCAACCUAAUCCCUUGCUUUUGUGUUUCAAGCACAAACAUUGUACUCUGAAUAUAAAAGUUUUAUGGCCGAGAGCAGGUAUGUUCCAGUCUAUCCACACCUGCAUGCACAAAUAAACCAUAUUAGACUUUCUAACUUGAUUUUAAAAGCACAUGUAUAUGUUUUUUUAAUAUUGGUGCUGACAGAAUUAUUUCAUUUGUGUUUACCGGUGAUAAAUUUCCUGGGAGUUAAAAAUAUAAAAUUUUGUGACAGUAAUGUUCCUUUGUACAUAUUUAUUGAAUUGUGUGUUUAUAAACUAUUUAGGUGUGCAUAUUUUGGUGUCAAUCUUAAAUCAUCUUAAUACAAUUAAGGAUUUAACCAAUUCAGUAGUUUUAUUCAAGUUUGUGUUGUGGCACUCUGCCUUUAUAAGUGAAAAUACUCCGCUUAGAAAAACAUGUCUUAAAAUUGAUGAUUUCCAAUUAUUAAACAUGAUCAAAUUAUUUUUAAACACAGAGCAACAGUAACUUGUAGUUAUUUUAAGUCAAAGGAGGGCUGAAUUUGUUUGAUAUGUAAGCUGCAAGUAUGUACUACUAAGUACUUGAGCGAUUCUAAACGGAAAAAAUUGAAAUCUAUGAAAAUUGGUACUCCAAGAUAAGGAUGAAUUUACAGUUGUCUUUUUUAAAAUUAUUUAUUGGUUUACUGUUGAAUUUUAUUGAUUAAAUGAUUUGAAAUAUACUGUAGUCAGAAAUUUAUUCUCCUUUGAACCUGUAUGUAAGGAGAGAUAACUCCUACAGAAGGGAGAUAAUCAGGUUAUAAUUCAUUGUUGAAGUGGUUGAUGAAUUAAUUAUAGUCUCUGAAUGAUUAACUGAAGGAAUACUACACAUUGUAAUGUUUAACUUAUUGAUUUUUAAUCUUUGUAAAAUUUGUAUGUUUAGACGCCAAACAGCACAAUUAUACUUAUGAUCACAAUAGUUUGUGUGCCUGAAUGAAUAAAAUUAUAUUUUUUGAAAAUAAGAGACUUUUGUA